rnacentral:rRNA from 1 species
UACGUAGGGUGCGAGCGUUAAUCGGAAUUACUGAGCGUAAAGCGUGCGCAGGCGGUGGCUCAAGUCAGAUGUGAAAGCCCCGGGCUUAACCUGGGAAUUGCGUUUGAAACUGAGUCGCUAGAGUCUAGCAGAGGGGGGUAGAAUUCCACGUGUAGCAGUGAAAUGCGUAGAGAUGUGGAGGAACACCGAUGGCGAAGGCAGCCCCCUGGGCUAGAACUGACGCCCAGGCACGAAAGCGUGGGGAGCAAACAGG